rnacentral:sRNA from 1 species
UAAGUGAGGACGAACGUGAGGUGUGUGU